CGUCUGCAGGAUUAAUGAAGACUUGGAACUUGUCCAUUUCCAUUUACUUCCUCCUCUACUCUGUCCUGCACACUUCACUAGGUUCUCCUAAAAGACAACUUUCCAAUUCCUUCAAACGUGUGAAACCCAACCUUUACUUUCUUACUGGCUCCAACACCUGGAUUCUAAAUAACGAGGAAUAAAAUCAGUGUUUGAUCAUCACUCCAAGAGUCUUACAUAUUAGGGAUUUGACUCCUCUAGACACUUCAUCUCCAUGGGAUCAUGCAUUAUUUGUC